AUCAAGUGCCUUAAGGGUGUUCGGUGGAUGCCUUGGCGCUGAGAGGCGAUGAAGGACGUGCUACGCUGCGAUAAGCCGUGGGGAGCUGCGAAGAAGCUUUGAUCCAUGGAUUUCCGAAUGGGGAAACCCACCUUCGAUAGCCGGAACUCCAAGACCUUUGUCGAAAGACAUCGGUGUGGGGUUCGACCAGAUAAUGGAAGAGGCCAGGCCUUUAGAUUUCGAUCGAAGAGGUUUUGGAUUUCCGGUUAUCAAGAGAAGGUAUGAGACUUCUGAAUACAUAGGAGGUUUCAAGCAAACCCAGGGAACUGAAACAUCUAAGUACCUGGAGGAAAGGACAUCAACAGAGACUCCGUUAGUAGUGGCGAGCGAACGCGGACCAGGCC
rnacentral:rRNA from 6 species